rnacentral:rRNA from 1 species
GAUGAACGCUGGCGGCGUGCCUAAUACAUGCAAGUCGAGCGAACAGACGAGGAGCUUGCUCCUCUGACGUUAGCGGCGGACGGGUGAGUAACACGUGGAUAACCUACCUAUAAGACUGGGAUAACUUCGGGAAACCGGAGCUAAUACAGGAUAAUAUAUUGAACCGCAUGGUUCAAUAGUGAAAGACGGUUUUGCUGUCACUUAUAGAUGGAUCCGCGCCGCAUUAGCUAGUUGGUAAGGUAACGGCUUACCAAGGCAACGAUGCGUAGCCGACCUGAGAGGACGAUCGGCCACACUGGAACUGAGACACGGCCCAGACUCCUACGGGAGGCAGCAGUAGGGAAUCUUCCGCAAUGGGCGCAAGCCUGACGGAGCAACGCCGCGUGAGUGAUGAAGGUCUUCGGAUCGUAAACCUCUGUUAUUAGGGAAGAACAAAUGUGUAAGUAACUAUGCACGUCUUGACGGUACCUGAUCAGAAAGCCACGGCUAACUACGUG